rnacentral:rRNA from 1 species
GACGAACGCUGGCGGCGUGCUUAACACAUGCAAGUCGAACGGAAAGGCCCUGCUGUUGUGGGGUGCUCGAGUGGCGAACGGGUGAGUAACAGGUGAGUAACCUGCCCUUGACUUUGGGAUAACGUCAGGAAACUGGGGCUAAUACCGGAUAGGAGCUCCUGCUGCAUGGUGGGGGUUGGAAAGCUUGGGCGGUUGGGGAUGGACUCGCGGCUUGUCAGCUUGUUGGUGGGGUAGUGGCUUACCAAGGCUUUGACGGGUAGCCGGCCUGAGAGGGUGACCGGCCACGUUGGGACGGAGAUACGGCCCAGACUCCUACGGGAGGCAGGAGUGGGGAAUAGUGCACAAUGGGCGGAAGCAUGAUGCAGCAACGCCGCGUGCGGGAUGACGGCCUUCGGGUUGUAAACCGCUUUCGCCUGUGACGAAGCGUGAGUGGCGGUAAUGGGUAAAGAAGCACCGGCUAACUACGUG